GACAGACACCUCUCCCUUGUAGCUCCUGCAUAUUCAUGGGUCACUAUGAUUUCUAGUGGACCCCGUACCCUUCCCAUGCAGGCAGACAGAAGGAAUUCCAAAGAGGCUUGCAGACAGCAGCGGCACUUUCUUCCAAAGGCGAAAAGAAGCCCAGUUCCAAUCUACAAAAACCCUGCAGCAGUGGAGUCAAGAGUAAGAACUACGGAAGGGAGAGGCCCACAAACACAAGAUGGAGAAGGGAAGUUCUGCCAAGACCACACUCUGCAAUAGAAGCCUCUCCCAGAUACACGCUAAGCUUCAAGUAAACAACCUAUUAGCGCUGCCCUAGCCAGCCACAGGCACUGUCCAGUGUUGGGAGGUGACUGUUCACCUGUAAACCCUCUGCAUUCAGUCAUGAGGGGGAACCUGUGAUGCAAAACCAGCCAAACCAGAUAAAGGAAGCAGAUCUUGCCAAAGCACUACAUGCUUGACUGGAGUUAUCAGGACUGGGCAAUGAACUGGGCAUGAACUGGGAUGCACCUGAUUGCAACUCUUAGCAGUGGUACUCUGCAGCUCCUUGACACCAUAAUCAUAGCUCAACUAGACCUGAGGAACAUUGAAAAUAACCAUCAGAAAAGACUGAGACAGGAAAACACAGACCAUCCAGUUAUCUAAUUAGAAUAAUUCCUGAGAAGACAGCCUGUAAAUUCCUGGGCCUGUAUCCUAAGAGAAAGAUCCUCCAACCCCACCCAAGAAGAAGCUGCAUAAAUAAGGAUUACUGUAGAAACCAGGGACAGAUGACUGAGAGAACUGCCAGGAACCAGAAGCCAAAUUCAAGUUUUGGCUGCUGCUGCAGGUUCUUACUUUGUUUAAACGCCUUUGGGGUAGCUGUUCAUAUAAAUGUUCAUGUUUACUUCGAAUGGAAGAUACCACCAUCUCAUUUCAGUGCUGCAAAGAACCCAGGGAACCCACCC